rnacentral:lncRNA from 1 species
AGGUUCCCAGGCUAGGGGUCAAAUUGGAGCCGUAGCCAGAGCCACAGCAGCUUGGGAUUUGAGACCUACACCACAGCUCUUGGCAACACCGGAUCCUUAACUCACUGAGCAAGGCCAGGGAUUGAACCUGCAACAUCAUUCCUAGUCGGAUUCGUUAACCCCUGAGCCAUAACAGGAACUCCUCUUAGCAAAUUUUAUACAUUACAAGGUCUUGAUUUUCCCAUGUAAGCAUCCCAGACCUCCCCCCUUCCCCGAGCAGACAGUAUUCCUCCCUAAGAAACUGAGCAAGCAAGGUUACAGAAGCAGAACUGAUAAGCAAUGCUGGGAACACAAUUAGCAGGGCUGCUGGCUUGGGCAUAGGGUGCAUAGUUGCUACAUUAUUAAAAGAGAAGUGGUAGGAGGUGAGCAUAGCUGAAAAGACUUGCAGCUGCCUUUUUAGCCAAGGGGUGGUGUGUGUGGGGGUUAUUCCUUAGUUAAAACUUUUAUUUCAGAUCUAGUAGGUCACAGCCCCUAAGAGACUACCCCCAUCUUCCAGAAGUGAGUUUCCAUUGUCCCUUGAACAUAAAACCUUUGGCAGAACACUGCUUGGAUUCAUAACAAUUUUGCAGAUACAUUUAGGAAUUUCAUAAUUCCAAUACAAGUUAAGAGCAGGUAUCUUGUCCCUCAUUAGAAAAUAUUUGUUAAUUAUAAGAGAUAUUUAGAUCUUAGCACCUUCUAGGUUUUUUUAACUUUAGGAAAAAAAUCUGUUCUCCGAGGCAGUACUACUAUGAAUUCCACUUUCCUUUGCAGAGAUGGGGUUCUUGGGAGUAGUGAUCUGCCAGUUAUAAUCUGAGUAAGGCAUAGGACAUUUAUUGGAAUUCUUUCAAGUUUCUUCUUAUUUUAAAACUGUGAAUCAGUGGCUCUUAACCAGAGUUGUCUUUGUCCUGAGUGAUACUUUGUCAUGUUGAAAGCAUAUCGCUAAAAACCUAUGCACAAGGCGGGAUCCAACACAACGAUCCUGCCUCCAAAUAUCAACAGUGAGAAAAUGAGUAGACCUCUUCUGGACCAGCACCUUCCCCACUCCACUGUGCAUACCAGUCACCCAGAUGCUGGUUCCAAUGCAACAUCUAAUUCAGGACAUCCUGCCUGGUGAGCCAAAAGGCUCCUGGGUGGUGAUGUUGGUGAAGGUACUGAAUUGGGGAAAACAUUUUGAGUGAGCUAGGUGUAGUCAUUUUAUAGAUUACUGUGUCCAUAGUUUUACAUUUUUUUUCUACCAAAAACCAUCUUCAUAUGAAGCUUUGAACAAAAACUGUGUGCAUUUAUUCCAGAGCCUCUGAUACAUUUUGUCCAGCUCAAAGGCCAUUGAAUCACCUCAAAUCAUCUACUUUUUAAAAAGCCUUUGUAAUGGCAGAAUGAGAGAAUGAGAGCCCCCACCAAAGAUGUCCAUAUCUUAAUUUCUAUAACUUUUGAAUGUAUAGUCUAUGUCUAAGGGACAUUAAGGGACAUUUUAUACAGCAUAUGGAAUAAAGUUUAUAGUAAUCUAAUUUUAAGAUUAGCUAUGAUUACCAAGGUGUGACUAACUUAGUCACAAUAAUCCUCUAAAUGUGGAUGAGAGGUGAAUUAGAGUUGGAGUCCCAGAGAGAUUUGAAAAUGUAAACUGCUAACUUGAUGAUGUGGCUCUUAGCCAAGCAAUGCAGAUGACCCCUAGAAACUGGAAAAGGAAAGACAGAAAAAAAGAUUCUGUCCAUCCUCCAGGAGGAACUCAGCCAUGCUGAUCUCAUUACUUUAGUUCAAUAAAAACAAUUUCAGGCUUCUGACAUCCAGAAAAGUAAGAGCAUAAAUUUGUUUUAUUUUUAAAAAUUUUCUUGGAGUAUAGUUGACUUACAAUGUUGUCUUAGUUUUAAUUGUACAACAAAGUGAAUCAGUUUUUUUAAUCGUUCAGACUCUUUUCCCAUACAGGCUACCACAAAUAUUGAGUAUAUUUCCCUGUGAUAUACAGUAGGUCCUUGUUACUCAUCAAUUUUGUAUAUAGUCGUGUGUAUAUGCCAAUCCCAAACUCCCAAGGUAUCCUUUUCCCCAACAUUUAAAAUAGAUAUUAUUGUAAUUUAGUUCAGUAGCAGUAAAAAAUCCCAUAAUGAUAUACAUACAAUAAAAUUUAGUUUGAGGAAAAUGAAUUUCAACUUAAUUCAGUCAUUUAGCUUUCCUUAGUUAUUAUAGCAGUUUUGUGUUGAUAUUUCACCUGAAGUAGAAGUAUAAACUAAAGUCAAUUUAGAGAUAUUUGGUCCAUUUGCUGACACAGAGAACUUUCCAUUAUAUAAAUUGAAAUGUGUUUCUGGUUUUGAAGCCUGUGACAAAUUAAUAUAGUAAAAUUAAUUCCUUAUUAAUAUUAAGUUCAUCUGUUCUACUUUAAACUGUGUUUAAAUUUCUACAGUCCUUCUAUUUCAUGUUAAUUAAAAUUUCAUUCUAUUUUUUAACCCUCUAACUUCCUUUCAGUUUUCCAGGAAACAUAAAAGAUAGCAAUGUAAAUGUGUUUGUAUGUGUCAGCGUAUUUAGUAAAGAAAAUGUAUGCAACACAGGCACACACACACACACACAAACACAUGCACCUUAUUCUUGGACAUUUUAAUCAGACUUGACAAAGUAUUUCCACACAUUUGCUUUAUUUCUCCACACAUCAAUCAGAAAUGCUGCUUAGUAUCCUACAUUAUGUUCAUAAAUAAGUUUACUGAGCCUUAGGGAAAUUAAACUGUUCACCAUUACAUACAAAACAUAAAAGAUUAUUUUGCACUGUAGUGAAUUGUGUACAAAUAGAGUCAGGCAGUAUAUACUCAUAUUUAUGGGGCUCCUUUAUUUCUACAGAUGGUACAUUUUAUUUUAUUUUUUUCCAGGUCCAUUGAGAUGUAAUUGACCUAUAUAGCAUUGUGUAAGUUUAAGGUGUAAAAUGUAAUGAUCUAAUAUAUAUAUCAUAUAUAUAUACACGUAUAUAUAUUCUAAAAUGAUGAUCAAAAUAACUUCUCUUUUGUCUUUUUAGGGCUGCACCUGUGGCACAUGGAAGUUCCCAGGCUAGGGGUCAAAUUGGAGCUGUAGCCAUAAGCCUACACUACAGCCACAGCAACUCAGGAUCCAUGCCGCAUCUGCAACCCACACUAUAGCCCACAGCAAUGCCAGAUCCCAACCCAGUGAGCGAGACUACUGAUCGAACCUCUGUCCUCAUGGAUAUAAAAUGUGGCAUAGGUUGCAGAUGUAGCUCAGAUCCCGUGUUGCUAUGGCUGCGGCAUAGGCUGGCAGCUGCACCUCUAAUUCCACCCCUAGCCCAGGGAACUUCCAUAUACUGCAGGUGCAGCCCUAAAAAAAAAAAAAAAAAAAAAAAAGAAGAAGAAGAAUAUGAUGAGAAAAUCACACAUAAUAGGGGUGGAAGACAUCUCUUUAAAUGAGAAGAAACCAAAGUGUCCGAUAGAGAUAAAGGAACACUGAUGGUAAAAUUAGUAAUUCAUAUUUGAUAAGCUCAUUUUUGCAUGAAAUAAAUUAUCCUAGAUUUAGAAAUGGAGUAAAUUGAUUCUAUAUGAUUGAGACCUCUUUAAUACUGUAUUGCAUAUUUAUUUAUUUAUUUAUUUAUUUUCCAUUUCUUGGGCCACUCUCGUGGCAGGUUCCCAGGCUAGGGGUCUAAUCGGAGCUAUAGCCGCCUGCCUACGCUAGAGCCACAGCAACGCGGGAUCCGAGCCGUGUCUGCAACCUACACCACAACUCAUGGCAACACUGGAUCCUUAACCCACUGAGCAAGGCCAGGGAUCGAACCUACAACCUCAGGGUUCCUAGUCGGAUUCGACAACCACUGCGCCAUGACGGGAACUCCUGUAUUGCAUAUUUAGACAUCGCCAAGAGAGUAGAUCUUAAAAUUCCUCAUCACAAGAAUAAUUGUAACUAUGUAUGGGAAUGGAUGCUACCCAGACUUAGUGUGGUGAUUAUUUUGCAAUACACACAAAUAUCAAAUCAUUAGGUUGUACAUAACAGACUUAUGCAAUGUUAUAUGUCCAUUACACUUCAAUUUAAAAAGAGGGAGAAAACACAAAGGAAGUCAUGUGAGAGAGAGAGAGAAAGAGAAAGAGAGAGAGGUCACCCCAACCACACAAAAUAUCAUAGAUAAGUCUUAGACACCAGUUAUCAGAACUCCAAAUAACUUCUCACCAUACAGUCUCGUUUGAUAAUAAAGAUAUUAUGUUAAAGUGCCUGCCUUUAAGAAGGCGUGUUAUGCAGUGGUGCAGAACUAAUUCAAUAAUCAAAGCUUAAUAAUCUGCUUCUGCUGAUUCUCAGCAUUUGUUCUUAUAUUUGAAGACAGCAUUCAUGGUUAUGCUCUUAUAAAGUUUAUUUCAGACAACUGUAUUAAAAAGUAACUAUGCUAGGGCUCCCUUAUAGAAAAGGAGGAGAGUUUGAAAGGGUAUGCAUGUUUGUAUAAGAUAGAUGGUGACCUUGAGUCAUACGACUGUCCAGGAAUUUAAGCUGCCUCAUUUGUCAUUCUAUGUCCAUAACGACGAAUAGCUUCAUGAGCAUCAAGGAGAUAUAAAAUGUAAGAUAUUGAUAAUUCACUAAAUUCACUAUUCCUUUAAAGGUUAUGUAUACAUUUUAAAACAGGGAGAUACUCCAUUUAGAGCAAUGCAGGGUCAAACUAUAAGGAGUAUUGGAAGUUUUCUAACACAAAUAGAAAGAUAAUUCAAUGAAAAAAAUGCUCAACAUCACUAAUUACUAGAGAAAGCAAAUCAAAACUACAAGGUACUACCUUACACCAGUCAGAAUGACCAUAAUUAAUAAGCCUACAAAUAAUGAAACCUAGAGAGGGUAUGGAGAAAA